rnacentral:lncRNA from 1 species
UGAAAUGAAACAUCAUCAAGGGGAACGACAUAUACAUUAUCCGGUAUCUUCUUUCCUCCUAGAAUUUUCUUAUUUUUCGUGUUAGGGGCACAACUAUGUCAUUCAAAUUAUUCUUAACAUCUUCCUCUACAUCUUCUAGAACAUGAACCUUAUUUAGUUUUGGGACUUACUUUUUCUUCCAAGCUGAUUUUUCAAUUAUCACUCUCUUUUAUUCAUUUUUCUUCUUUUUAUUACUCUCCUCCAUUCUUCUUUGGGUUUU